CACUUAUUUGUCACUUUCCAUUCUUUUUCGUGAAACAAAACCUUUUUUUCUCAUGCGCAUUGGCAAUUGACUACAUUUUCAAGUUGUGAACGAACAGCUGAAUUCAAUGAUUUUUUCCGUUAACAUAUUCAUUUACACUUUCCUAUUUCGAAGUAAUUUUUUUGUCUUUAUUCCCUAAAUAUUCUGUGGAGUAAUAGUGCGUCGAAAAAUUCUUUAAAACCCUCGGUACAGCUGUAGUUCAACAAUAAGCUCAAUAAACCGAAAAUAUUGUAUCAAAUAGUGAAUGAUCAUGUCUUCCUUGCUGAAAAUCAUGAAUUUUGGCCUUUUUAUCCAUUUCAAACUUUUUAUCAAUAAGUUAUGUAUAACCUAAUUUAUUCAUUUGUGGUUCAGUUAUGCAUUUGACAUUUUACCACAGAUGACUUCAAACCAGCCUCAGUAGACACCUCGAGACCGGCAGAGCUUGUUGUAGGUGACAAAAAUGAGGUCACAGUCACUGUUCCUAAUGUACAGGAUUCUGGUAACACUGUUUAUCGUGGUUCCAAAAGAAGUUGUACGAAGGAAUUUUUUUUGGUGGUUGAUAAAGAAAAAAAGACAUUUACACUGGACAGAAUUGAGUCUACUGUUCCUCAGCUCAAGAAAGUUAGGUAUCCCCACAAGCUUGCAGUUUUUUGGAAAAAAAGAAAGCCAGUAGUAUGGUUUGGAGGUAUUGAAAAUGGUUAUCGUGGUGUUCAUUUUUGGCUUGAGCCUGAUCCAGUGGAUACCAAACUUACUCUCCUUAGGGUAAGUUUAAGCAAAG